UUUUGGACUGCCGAUGAAAUUUAAUAAUUUGCUUUGAGUAAAAGCGUAUGCUUCGCUGCCACUGCUUUAUAGACGAAUAACAUCGUCUACCUAGGUCAGGAAGUUGCGACAUCAGAAGAAAAGCAAUUACUAAAAACGAGAUGCCCGCAGAGAGGAAACUGGUAGCGUAUCUGAUCAUUUCUGUCCUGUGCGCAAUAAGCCCAGCUGUGAAUGCAUCUUCGGGAGGACGAUGGUAUAGGAGUGACUGCUGGAGAUCUGACUGCCGUGGGGGCGAUUGUCCACUUCCUUGCCAGUGCCCUGGAAUUAUUCAGCGCUUCUUUGGACGCUACACUUGUUAUUGAUGGAGAUCCCAGUUGGAACUUAUAGGAGGUCCAAGUAAACGUUGUUGCAAAAAUUC